AAAACUGUACCGAGUCCUCCCUUCAUUUCCAUCUAGCUUGACCCAGACCCCUUACAGUGGUCCCGCUGAUCUGGUGUGGCUUCCUCUCCCACCCUCAACUUUGGAGCACUGUCAAUGCCUCCAGAAGGCCAGGCUCCUCCUGCCUGGAGCACCAGGCUAUUAUUUCCUGUCUGGAAGCCCUGGAGGGAUUGGCUCCUUCCCACCUUUCUCACCUGCCCUGCCUCACCUUUGCUAUGAUGUCACCUUCUUGGAGAGGCCUUCUUUGGCCCCCCGUCCCUCCCAGCACUGUGCCCCAUGAGGUUCACACGUGCAUGAAUUGGAUUCUAAUUGCACAUUUGUUUUUGUGGGUACUGGCUCAUUGGCUUUCUCAUCUAGGAGUUGCCCAUCAAUAGGGGCUUCCACUGCCUACCCAGCAAGUGGUUCCAUAAAUAACUGUAGCGUGGUGGUGAGGCAGUUAAUUUCCUUCAGAUAUAAGGGCUCAGACAGUAAAUGUACACUCAAAAAUACUCCUGUUGGGUUAGUCAGUUUUCUGGUUCCUGAACACAUCUUGACUGAUUUUUCAAAGGCACACAUGGCAGCCAUCUGACCUGCUUCACACUUGCGAUGGGAAUUUCAUCCCUUUAGGAAAUGGGAAAUGCCAUUGUUACCUGUUUGAGUUUUAGUGACUUUCCUCUAACAUGCUCAACUUUAAGCUGCUUUAUCACACUACAUAUUAAAUGUGUUUGUUUUGGAGAGGUUUUUAUGGUACCCCAGGAGAUAAUUUCUGAUGACCCCGUCAGAAACACAAGAAUGGGGAGAAGGGUGAGCAGCCAGGGUUAGAAAUUCAUGUUUUUAUAAUCUAUGCUAUAGAAAAAGUCUUCAGGAUCAGUACUUGUCUUUCCUGAGACUACUUGCAACAGUUCAAAACUGUCACAAAUAGCCUUGAGACAUGUGUGGUUUGAUCUUUAUUUAUGGAGUUGUUGAAGGAUUCUCAAAAUUGCCCAAGGGUCACCUCCUCCCAGAAGCCUUCCCUGACUUUCCUGGAGUGUGGGAAGGUCAUUCCUUCCUCCCCGAAAGCCAACCUCAGAGCUGCCAAUGCCCUCCCUCCAGGCUAAUGUAUCUCCACAAUCACCCCUCCACCCUCAGUCAAGGUUUUCCUGGCAGCCACCCCCUUCAGACUGUGGGCUCUGUUGGAGUAGAACCCACAGUUUCCUCAUCCUCGCAUCUCCAGGGCCCACAGCAGGAGUGGCAUGCACAAAGAUGGAGUGAAUCCACCUUGAAAGGAGGGGCAGCACAGGCACAGGGGCCUGGAGACAGGAACAUGAGCAUCUGAACUGUCAGCUUCUAGCUUCUCUCCUAUCCCACCCCAACACAUGGCACAGGUGGAAACCCAAGAACCCGUGGGGUUCACCUGGCCCUGGGGGUUCACCUGGCCCUGGAGUCAUGCUCUGAACACAGUGGAGCAGGCACCGGCUGUGCAUCCCACACUGUCUGCUCUGCGGGAAGAAGCACAUCUGCUUCCCCAGGACCACCUGCAACAGCCUCUGCACAGUGUCUAUGUCUCUGCCUGCCCCAGAGGGUCUUUUUGAGAUGGAGUCUUGCUCUGUCGCCCAGGCUGGAGUGCAGUGGCACAAUCUCGGCUCACUGCAACCUCCGCCUCCCCGGUUCAAGUGAUUCUCCUGCCUCAGCCUCCUGAGUAGCUGGUAUUACAAGCGCGAGCCACCACGCCCGGCUAAUUAUUGUAUUUUUAGUAGAGACGGCAUUUCACCAUGUUGGCCAGGCUGGCCUCAAACCAGGAGGGUCUUAAACCCUUUCUAUGAAUUACUCUCCAUUGAAAUUAGUAAUUUUUUGUGUAUGUCGUGAUAUUUUCCAGUUCCAAGUCUUCUGAAAAGGGUAGGACGCUAACUUGUAAAGGUUACUGUGAUGGUAAAUUUUAGGUGUCAACUUGGCUAGGACACAGUGCCUCUUUGUUUGGUCAAACACUAAUGUAGGUGUUGCUGUGAAGGUAUUCUGUAGAUGUCAGUAAAGGAGAUUACCCCGGAUAAUGUGGUGGGCCUCAUCCAAUCAGUUGAAGGUCACAGGAGCAAAAACUGAAGUUUCCCAGAGAAGAAAUUCUGCCUCAGGAUGGCAGCACCAUCUCCCGCCUGGGUUUCUAGCCUGCUGGCCUGUAGAUUCCAGACUUGCCAGCCCCCACAGCUCAGUGAGAGGGGAUCUAAUACCUGGGGAUAAAUCUCCUCUGUGAGAGUGAAUCGAGGCAGAAUCAAGAGAAGCAAGUGAGACCCGCUGUGAGUGGGUACCUCACAUCCCACACAUCUACCUCCACCUAUGAGGAGCCACAGGACCUGCCUGCCUGCCUGGCCGCUCUCCGCAAGCGCACAGAGCCUUUCUGUGCUUAGGCCACACGUGCCCAGCAUAUGGUGCAAAUAACCAUUUAUCGAGUGCACUGAACUGAGGCCUCAAGGCAAGCUUACCGCUGUGCAGGGUUAAUGACAAACCCAAGGUGGGCAGCCUGGAGCUAGCCACAGUCCAAGCCAAAAGCUCCAGUGACAUCUGCUCUGUGUCCAAAAGGUAGAAGGAAAGGAAAGAACACAGUGUACCAACUUAUCUCAAAUAAAAUAAUUACUUAUUACCAACAUCAAGUAUGAAAUGUGAAGCUAUUCUGUGCCAGUUACAGAAAAGCUAUAUUACUAUGUACAUUACAGAAUAAAUUACUAAGUUUUGACUAGAGUAUAAAAUUUAUUUGUCUUAAUUUCUAGUAAGUUUUAUUUGUUGAAAUAUAGACUCAUAACAUUCAAGACAGUGCUGGGUGUCGACUUCUGAACACAGCACACACUGGAUAGUGUAUGACACGCUGUGCAACACAACAGGGCAAAAAAUUGGAAACCUGCUUUUCUGCAGUAACUUUUCAUUUGCCCUAGACAAGGAACAUUGCACGGCUUAUUUUGACAAUGAUGCUCUUGUAUUCAUUGAAUAAGUCAUCUAAUCUGUAAGAAUCUACGUUUUAUUCCCAUGUGACUUAAUAAAGCAUUUUCAUUAUGAAUAAAAAUGUGAACUGCAUAAACAUUUGUAUUUUAUUUGAAUUGGUUCUUAAGGGGGGGAUAGGGUGUUGUUUUUCACUGCUUUAUACAAAUGUAAGGCAUAGAAUCAUUCUCUUAAAAAAUUAAAACAAAACAUUUCAUUAAUUAUUUACUUACUUGCCUAAAAAUGUCUUUAUGACCAACAAAUGGAACAGCUUUUGCACUUCAAAGUAAAAUCUUCACUUUCACAAAUCACCAGCAGCGCAGCAGAGCCAGCCAUGGGAGGCAGACGAGGCACGAGACUUCCCAGAGCCUGUCGAUCCCCGUCACUUCUGUCUGUCCUGGAGUCUGAGCCCUAGCGUCACCCCUCUAGCCCCGACCCUCUAGCCCAAUUCCUCUAGUCCC
rnacentral:lncRNA from 1 species